rnacentral:rRNA from 1 species
AACGAACGCUGGCGGCGCGUCUUAAGCAUGCAAGUCGAACGGCAAGAUUGGUGCUUGCACCGAUCCUAGAGUGGCGGACUGGUGAGUAACGCGUGGGUGACGUACCCUUCAGUUGGGGAUAGCUACUAGAAAUAGUAGAUAAUACCGAAUACGAUUCCUAUUGUUAGAGGGUAGGGAUGAAAGGAGCUAAGGCUUUGCUGAAGGAACGGCCCGCGUACCAUUAGCUAGUUGGUGUGGUAACGGCAUACCAAGGCGAUGAUGGUUACCCGGCCUAAGAGGGUGAUCGGGCACAUUGGGACUGAGAUACGGCCCAGACUCCCACGGGAGGCAGCAGCUAAGAAUAUUCCGCAAUGGACGAAAGUCUGACGGAGCGACGCCGCGUGGAUGAAGAAGGCCGGAAGGUUGUAAAAUCCUUUUAAGUAUGAGGAAUAAGUAGUGUAGGGAAUGACACUAUGGUGACUGUAGUACUUGAAUAAGCAACGGCUAAUUACGUGCCAGCCGCCGCCGUAACAC